rnacentral:rRNA from 1 species
GGUGAGUAAUGUCUGGGAAACUGCCUGAUGGAGGGGGAUAACUACUGGAAACGGUAGCUAAUACCGCAUAACGUCGCAAGACCAAAGAGGGGGACCUUCGGGCCUCUUGCCAUCGGAUGUGCCCAGAUGGGAUUAGCUAGUAGGUGGGGUAACGGCUCACCUAGGCGACGAUCCCUAGCUGGUCUGAGAGGAUGACCAGCCACACUGGAACUGAGACACGGUCCAGACUCCUACGGGAGGCAGCAGUGGGGAAUAUUGCACAAUGGGCGCAAGCCUGAUGCAGCCAUGCCGCGUGUAUGAAGAAGGCCUUCGGGUUGUAAAGUACUUUCAGCGGGGAGGAAGGGAGUAAAGUUAAUACCUUUGCUCAUUGACGUUACC